UACGUAGGGUGCGAGCGUUAAUCGGAAUUACUGGGUGUAAAGCGUGCGCAGGCGGUUCGCUGUGUCCGAUGUGAAAGCCCCGGGCUUAACCUGGGAAUGGCAUUGGAAACUAACGGGCUCGAGUGUGGCAGAGGGGGGUGGAAUUCCACGUGUAGCAGUGAAAUGCGUAGAGAUGUGGAGGAACACCGAUGGCGAAGGCAGCCCCCUGGGCUAACACUGACGCUCAGGCACGAAAGCGUGGGGAGCAAACAGG
rnacentral:rRNA from 1 species